rnacentral:pre_miRNA from 1 species
CACCUACCCUGUCGAACUGACGCAGUUCGACAUGUACCUGUCGAACUGUGGUUGUUCGAUAGGUAUCCCUGUCGAACCGCGGUUGUUCGACAGGGUGCUAAAC